UAGAAUGGAACUGAGCCAUCGAUAAUGACGGAGAUGUUCCGCCGUGUGCUUGGGAAGACGUUGGGGUUUGUGGGCUAUACUGUCCAGUAUGGCUGCAUUGCACAUUGUGCCUUUGAAUACAUUGGAGAAUUUGUGGUGUGUUCUGGUCCAUCUAUGGAACCCACUAUUGUCAACCAUGAUGUAGUUUUCUCUGAGCGGAUGAGUCGUCAUCUUUGCAAAAUACAAAAGGGUGAUAUAGUCAUUGCAAAAAGUCCAUUUGACCCAAAUAUGAACGUUUGUAAAAGAGUAAUUGGGUUGGAGGGUGACAAGAUCUGCACAAGUGGCCCAUUGGAUCUUUUCAAGACCCACACAUACCUAUCUCAGGCCCCUCUCUGGCUUUGCCCUCCCUGGGUAAGAGGGGCGCAGAUCUCAGCCAACAGCCUAAUGACCCCGUUUGAAGUUGUUCUAAAUCCCUCCGACCCUGCCUGUUACCCAUGACCCUUCUCCUAAGACGGUAUGGGGUUAAAGAGGGACAGGCAGGUUGACGUUAAGAUAGGCUGAGGAGGGAUGGAUGGCUGUGGCAACUUGCUGGGGGUUUGGAGGUGGGGUUAAGGUUCCAAAAGGCCACGUAUGGCUUGAAGGAGAUAACCUUAGAAAUUCCACUGACUCAAGGAGCUAUGGCCCAAUUCCCUAUGCCCUCAUCCGAGGGCGUGUUUGCUUAAAGCUCUGGCCACC